rnacentral:lncRNA from 1 species
CCAUGGACCAUGAUAAGCAGCUGUGUAGCAAGUCAACCACAACACAAGAUUCCUAAAACACUUCAAGGGAGACAAGAAAAUAAUCUGUGGAAGAUACAAUGGACAAAGCUCCAGUUUUUCAAAUAACUUGCUCUUACUAUAAGGGUAGAUUGAGUCCAAAUUGAGAAAUGAUCUUUAGUAGAUGAUCCUUAUAGGUCAAUGCACUGAAAAAAAAUACAUCUGUUAAACACUAUUUGUUGACUCCUACGCCAAAGCAGACAACAUCCCAGUAUCAACUAAAUUUUACAUGAACUAUCGUCGCCUUUGGCCCACAUGUCCAGGGCAUUAUAUAAAUCCAAACGACGGCCAGAACUUUUUCUCUAGUGCUCUUCAACCAAUAUAUCAUUAUUUAAGCAUCUCCUCAUACAAAAAAAUAGUUUGCCAAAAUUAAUGAAAGCUCUAAUCUGCUUUCCUACCAAAACUCUCUUACACUAUAAACCCCUCUUGCUUGGCUAGAGUAAGCCAACUUCUCUAGAAGGCCACUCACAAAUUCAAGAUGAUUUUCCUUUUUCAUCCAAGUAUGUUCCUUGAUUCUUGUUCAUGCUCACAUUCACAGAAACACUUCCAAGAUGACUUUGCCCCAUAUAAAAGCAUGCUUUCACACUAUAGAUAAGUCAUGGUCUAUGCAUUCCAGAGAAAGCUACGAAUAUUACAAAAGAAAUUCCGUAAGGGCAUGUUUGGAUAUUCCUACAAAACAGAAUUGGGCCGAAAGUCCUGUAGGAUUCGUAGAUUGGGCCAUCUAUUCAAACAUGGCCCUGUAUCAACCAAAUACCACCCAACCCAAAUCCUAUGGGAAGAAAAAAAAGACCUCCAUAGGUCCUUUUUUUUUCCUGCGACCCAAAGGCUAGUAUUUGGGCUGUGGAUUUGGAUAGGCUCUUAGAAAAUGCAAGAUAAAUAGGCCAACAGGCCAGAUUUCUAUAGGAUUCUCAGCCCAAUCAUGUAGAAAUAUCCAAAUAGGCCCUCAAAAGUGAAAGAAUCCUUACCAAAAAGAUAAGUGACAUAAAACCACUAGAAUGUUCUUUAAGUCAAGAAAGCUAAGAAUCUUACAAGAGCAAUUCCCUAAGAAGUGAAAGAAACCUUACCAAAAAGAUAAGCGACAUAAAACUGCGAGAAUGUUCUUUAACUCAAGCUCUAGACACUUUCCAGUUGCAGGCAUUUCCCUAGAAGGUUGUCCUGCAUUUCUUCCAGUAAACUUUAUGCCAUAGCAAUCAAGUUCAGGGCCACAUAUCCUGUGUGUUAGACCACUGAAAGUGGCAAUUUUCAAUCACUUUGAACGAUACUGGCAAUAUAGCAUAUGUAUGAUGUCUUAGCUGACAAGCUUAAAGCAGAAACUAACUACAUUUGCGGAAAUUGCAGGGAGAAACGGGACCGAGAAAGGCAAGAGCAUUAGAAGAAUAUCGUAAUGAGAUAUUAAAGAUUGAUCAAAUCGCUGGUAGAGCAAGAGCCGAUGCAGAAGAAAAAAAAGAAAGGAUGAAUAUAAGGCAAAGGAGAAGGCCAAGAAGAUUCGAUCGACAGGGAAAGUUCCCCGCGCAUGCCCCUGCUUAUGAUAAAUCACUUAAAUGGUAGAAGAAGCGUCCUCACAUGAUAUCUUAUCUGUAUUAUUUGGAGGCAAUUUGCUUACCAAUACUCUGCUGAACAAUAAAGCAUAGCAAAGCUAGGAAAGAAUCUUAUAUUGAGUUGAAAUUUGGAAGUCAUGUAUAUCACAUACAGAUACCCUUGAGAUUAACAAAUGAAACAGGAAGCAGAAACAAAAGAUAGCGAUGAAAAAUGAAGAAUGCACAAUUGCACACGCUUCUAGACAGAAAACAGAAAAAAUUAAUCCCAAGGAUGACAAAAUGCCACGAAACUACAUAUGCAAAGCAUAUUUUUACACAUGGGUACAUGGAAAACAGUAUGAUAAUUCAAUUACAGUGAUAUUGGGCUAUGACUAUCACCUAAAUUCUUUCAUUUACGCAAUAAAUAGAAUAAGAGACUAAAGAACAGCUUUCUCUGUGCUUGCAGAUCCAAAAGAUAAACUCCUAUGCGAUCUGCAUACCCUGUUACAUAUGAUAUGAGAGAAGAUCCCUGCAUCACCUUUCUACGAGAUCUUUCUUGAACAGUAACCAACAUGAUCCACAAUGUAAUGCAGCAAUAAGGAAGUAUCCUAAUCUUCAAUGCUUGAAAAUCUGCUCAAUAAAGAAAAUAACAUGUCAAAGGAAAUGUAGAAGAAAAGGAGAUCAGAAUGUUCCCCAAACAUCAAAGCUAAAUAUUAGUUUACAAAACUGUCAUACAAAUUCAAAAUUUAUAGAACACCAUAAUUUAUAUUUUCUUCACAGAUUUUCUUUUUUGGAUUGUUACAUUUUUUGAGAAUAUUUUGCAUAUACUUAAUUCAGUUUCAUCAUAUCAUAUAACAUAUUUAGAUUAAUCAACCCAAGAAAUUUCAAACAUAUAGACAGAUAACCUUCAUUUGAUGGUGGUAAAUUCUAUAUGCUCCAAUUACUUCCAUAAUGUUGGCAAAUUGCACUCAUCGUUAUAAUAAGAACAAAGAAAGUUGUUUUGAAGAGAUUAACCCAAUAGUGCAUGGUAUCACUGCAAUUUGUUUAAAUUUAAAUAGCAGCAGAAAAAAAUGAACACAAGAUUUACAAAUGUUCAUUGUUAAAACCAAUCUUUUUUAUUUUUUACUCUUUUUUUUUUUGUAGUUAGUAACAUUCUCAAAUAGAUACCUGGAAUAGAUACCUGGACAAUUAGGUCUACAUGGAAUCAGAUGCAUAUUAGUGAGGCUAUGAUAACUACAUUUUAUCUCACAUAUUUUACAAUGCAUCAAAUGAGGAGCUUCAGUGGACUACUCACGUCCCCAAAAUUUAAAUGGUGGUAAGGAAACAAAGAGUGAUCAGGAGGAUCACCUGCGUCAAAUUCUGAGCAUCACUCCAACUCUGACACCUCCUCCGAGUCUGAGAGUGGUAAGAGAGUGGAUAUUCCAAGCAUAUGGCCAUUGAGGCAUACAUAAUACUCUAUGCAAUCAUCAUAAGCACCCAACCUGCAGGAAGCACUUCUUGGUAUCAUGUUUGCUUGCAGCAUGCUCCACAACUUUGCUUUACAGUAUGGACACACCUCUGUGGGAUGAAACUUUGCCUGCCUGUCAAUCAGCAUCUUCCUAACUCUUGAAAAAGAAAACGACUUGAAGACACCACGAAAAAAGCCCACAUCACCCUCCUCUCCCUGAUCAAGAUGCUCGCAAGGGUCUGAUACAUACAGUACAUCUGUUCUGCAUUGUGGAAUAAGAAAACUUUUCCCUGAAGUCCUAGAAAACCGAGUCCUGUAAACAAAGUGACCUGGGAUAUGGAUGGUAUUAAACAGACCCCCUUUGCUGCAACCUGAACAAUAGAUGAGAAGCUUCCCCAGUGCUUUCCAGUUUCCAUCAACACUGUGGCUUCCACUGGACUGCAAAUCUAGCAUCAUCUUUGGAGCCCUUGUUCGGCAAAACUCCUUCCAUAAAACCCGCUUGGCAACCUCAUCAAACCAUUUGCAAACGCACGACAUUGCAGCAAUCAAUCUGGGGUUCCAAUUUAGGUGUUGAAACACAAGAAAAAUUGCAUCCUCACUCAGAUGACCUUUCAUACAUAUACAAGUUGAUGAGUGUGUGCAGCGGUACUGCUUUACGACCAACAUCAUUCCACCCUGUUACAAUAGGAAAGAGCAAAAAAAGUUGCCAUUUAUUAACUGAUCAAUCUUGAACACAUUUACAACAAAAAAAGGGGGGCAAUUAGUUUGUUGAUGACUCUUAGUUUGGCCUACAGAAAAUAAUCCGAUAAUGGUUCAGAUCGAAAAUUUUCAUACAUGUCAUGCAUCAUAGGCUUAACAAGAAGAACAGGCAUCGACAAGAACCAAAAUUCGCCGCAUAAGUAAGAGCAUAUAGGUAGAACACUAAAGAAUCCGCUCAUCAAAUGUUGCAUUCCUACAUCCUGACUGGAUCAAGAUAGAAACACACCCUAUUUAAUCUAAUUUAUCUUCAUGCUUCAGGUUCAAUGGAAUAAGCAUAUAACUAUGAUUUGCAUGCAGCUACAGAAUGUUUCGUCAAGCAAAUCAUUUUUUUAGUGAAAUCUCAUCCAUAAAAGAAAAACAUAUACUUGCCACACCCAUAUAUUAAUCUCAGAUCCUUAACCAAUUCCAUCAUCCUACACAUUCAGUAUUGAAGUUCAUAGAAAAAAAAUAGUAGGUUCCCAACUCCAAAGUCUUCGAUCCCACCAACAAGAUGGAAAAGAAAAUCUCCAAUCCGUUGUUUCCAGGUUCCCCAUACAAAAUUUCACAAUCUAAUCCCAUAUCUUCGUGCAUCCCCAUGCUUCCAAUCCAUCAAAAUUCCAACAUUCCUCUCCGAUUCCUGUUUCCUAACGAUUCCCACAAUGCAUGCAAGAUCCCAUCACAUCUCCCCCUCCCCAACGAUUCCCAACACAUAUCACACCACCCAACCAAAGGCCCUACCGAAACCAUCAAUCCAACACAUACACCCAGAAAAAUCCAAAAAAAAUAGCGAAAAACUUCUCAGACCCCAAACAGCACAAAAAUAACCAAAAAAGGCGACAUUUUUCACAGAAGAAACAAGAAACUCAAUCAAUCUCUCACCUUUGUCGCAGAAAUUUCCCUUUUCUGUUCCCUUGCUCGCAUCCGAGAGCGAAAAGGGAAGAAAAAUCUCUCUCUUCCCCUCUCUCUCUCCUCUUUCUCCCUCUAGAGCUCAGCGAGCGAGAGAGAGAGAGAGAGAGAGAGAGAGAGAGAGAGANNNNNNNNNNNNNNNNNNNNNNNNNNNNNNNNNNNNNNNNNNNNNNNNNNNNNNNNNNNNNNNNNNNNNNNNNNNNNNNNNNNNNNNNNNNNNNNNNNNNNNNNNNNNNNNNNNNNNNNNNNNNNNNNNNNNNNNNNNNNNNNNNNNNNNNNNNNNNNNNNNNNNNNNNNNNNNNNNNNNNNNNNNNNNNNNNNNNNNNNNNNNNNNNNNNNNNNNGAGAGAGAGAGAGAGAGGCGGUUUUUGAAGCCCGGGAUACUGUUCCGUUAUGUCGGCGGUACACGGUUUCUAACCGUGUACCCCCCAGCAGAAAGGGUCUUCCGAAUUAAUCCAAUCAGCUGUCUUGUAUGAACAGCAGACAGCGUUUUCGUUGCUUGUAUAUUUCGUUGUCACAUAUCAUAAAAUACUGUUUACAUAUGAUUCAGACCUUAGAAUAAUACUUGUAAUAUGAUUAAAAGAUUUAUCCUUCCACUUAUCACUAAGAUUUAUCUUUGCAGCGAGAUAUUUAAUGUCUUUCUAAUCCAAAUUAGGUUGCAUUUUCAAACCUUAGAAUUAUAGUUCGCAAUAUCAGUUUGAAUCGGACGGAAUGAAUAUCCUGUAUGGAAGACAUACCGACCGAAAAUUUUCCACACUAUAUUGUAUCGAUACAGUACCAGCAUGGUACCAAACGAGGUGCAGUAAUAAAAAUAGUGACAAGCUAAAAUAGUAUUUUUGAAUGGGUGGCAUCUUUUGAACUCUUCUCAUCAAUGCUAACCAUUACUUUCUCUUAUUUAUUUUCUAUUUGCUAAUGUCUUGAAUCCUUCCCUUACCAUUCACUGGCUAGCAAAAGGGUGUAUUCUUGGAAUGCAGAGUAUAGGAGAUUAGACAAGAGAAUUCCAACUCUCUGGAUAUUUAUCCAUCUCGACGCACAUUUAGAAUGACUCGGACUUCUGCUCCUGCAUCACAUCAGCAACUUGGGCAGCUGGGGUCUGACGUUCCAAGUUGGGAAGUGGACUGUGCAAUUUGGCAGUCCUGGCCGCAAGUGGGCACAGCCCUACCCUCUUAUGAACUGACAAGUCGAUGGGGGCUCAACCAAGUUGCAUUAAAAAUCUUUGGUUGAUCGUGAUGGAAGAUGGCUGCUCCAAUUUAAGGAGUCAGGGACUUGCUCUAGAGAAGUUUCUUUGGUUGAAAGCUUCUAGUGGGGCACACGGAAGGGUAAAGUUUUUAUAGGUAAGACCACAGUUUUCCUUGUUCAAGUUAGAUUAGUUUUCUUGCAGUGAUUUAGUUUGAAGACUUGAUAGGAUUAUUAGAGUUUUGAAUUAUGUAUCUCUCCUUUUGGAGUGAUGUAGCACGCAUUCCAUUGAUUGGAGGCAUGUAAACCACCUAAGAGUGUUUUAGAAGGAAGUGCUCGAAUAAAAUAAAAAUGUACCACCGAGGUGGUAGUACAGUUGGAACGGGGCUAAGGUUAGAAAAGUUCGGACGUCGAUUAAAUGUGGAGACCAGAUGCCCUCCGCCUAAUUUGCCCGGUGGAGUCGCCAUUUAGUCCGCCGAUACUGAGGUGGUGCUGGGGUGACGUACUCACACGUGGAAGGGCUGCCGCACUGAUGGGGCUCCCCACGGGUCGGAAAGGCUAUGAGUGUAUUAUCUGCCCGCAUCAGACAUUCUCUGGUGGAGGGGGGCCCAGUGGGGGCUGCUACGUAGGUGGGGUUAAUUCCCCUCCCUCCUUCUUUUCCCUAGCAAAAAUAAAAUAAAAUAAAAUAAAAAUGCAGAGAUACAAAUAUCAUUAAUUACAUGGUGUGGGGGGACAAUCAGAAAGAGAUUUAGCAACAUCUCAUGUCAGUAUCUUGAUAAUUCUAGACAUGUUGAUACUAAUUACUUAAAAAGAAGCAUAAAAUUAACUAUGGAACACAUGCAUUCAUAACGCAAACCCAUUCAUACAUAUGUAAGUGUUGAUGUCCAAAUCCAGCCUGACUGCGAUAUGAUGAUAUAGAGGCAUGGAAGGCGUAGAUCGAUCCGCUCGGUCCACGGUGGUGGAAGAUAGUGUGCAAAUCUAUUAUGGAGAGUCAUGGAUCCGCACCCAAAGAGGAGACAAAGGCCAUUGAGGUGGCUCUAGUCGAGCCUCCUCCAAUGCUCAAGUUAGAUAGAGAUUUGGAAUAAUAGUGAGAGAUAACAAGAGAAAAUAUAACAAAAAGCAUUAGGGUAGAGUGAUCUUCUUGGAUCACUGAGCCUUGAGUGCCUGGCUUGAAGUGCUCAGCCUGGGAGCUCAGUCUCGGCCUUUGGGAGCUCCCUUUAGGAGCUCGGCCAUUAAAGACUUAACCAUCUGAGGCUCGACCAUUGAGAGCUUAGCCUUAGGAAGCUCAGCCUAGGUAUGCUCGGCUUGAAAGCUUGGCUUGGAGUGCUUGGCCUGGAAGCUCGAUCUAGGAGCUUAGCUUGGAGUGUUCGUUCGGCUUAGGAGCUCGACUUGGAUAAUGCAUGGAAAUUUGGCGUGGAGUACUCAACAUGGAAGCUCGACCUGAAGUGCUCGGGACGAGAGCUCAACCUGGAGUGCUCGAUGUGGGAGCUCCUCUCUUUUCUGAAUUAAUGUCCUUCCUUGUUUGGAUCCCGCCAAAAAAUUAUUUUUUUAAUUUAAAUUUUUUUAAAAUGCUUGCCGCAUGUCGAUUUGUAAUGGUCGGAUUAGAUUUAGGCCACAUCAAGAAGUCUUGAAAGGAAAAAAACAAAAUUUGGAAGUUAUAAUCAGAGUGCCCCUAAGAUGCAGAUUUUCUUUGCUCAAAAGAAAUCAUGCAGAUUUUCUUAUUUUAGAUGUACGUUAGGAUGAUUGUAUUAUCAGGAACAAUGCCUAACAAACUGCGAGAUCGAUAGCAAUAUUAUUCGGAAACAUGGAAGAAGUUAUUACAUUGGAGGCUCCGAAUUUCCAUGCUUAUAUUCAUGUUUGCCUCCAACACCAUCAUGCACUUCUGAACAAUCAAAAGAUAUCAGAAAGUUAUAUGCACUGCAAAGAAACCUGUAAGACUAUCCAAUGGACUAAAUUUACCCUUUGUUAGCCAAUUAGCUAAUAGGUUACUUCAUUUCAAUAAAUAGAGAAAGCUAGCAGGCAGGGAAAAAGCAUCCUAUUAGCAAUAAGUCCACUAUGUAUUUGCAGUAAUGGAUAAAUUUUUAUAUAAUCAAAUACAAUAGCAUGCCACAGGACAGAGGUAAAUAUCUUUACAGAUAUCCUUUCAGAAGAUAAUGGAAUGACAACUUUUUUCCUGGGAACUCCCUAGAGAGAGAGCUCUAGAAAUAGUUGCAUGCAGGGGAGACAUCUCUGGCAUACUCUCCAAGUAAGAACCUGCCAUUUGUUUUCAUACGGAGGACUAUGUCGCAUGACACCAAUUGGUUAUGUACAUGGAUUAAACAUUUCCUAUAUGCCGAUGAAAUAUCAUUCUAACUAUCAAGGUAUAACAAAAUACCAGAAAUCUUGAUCACCCAAUCUAGUAGGUUUGCUAAGCUCUGAUUUCAAACUUGACAAUUCAAACUAGCAUCAAACUAUGGCUCAAAAUCACCAGUAGCAGAUUCAAACUGAUGAAACUAGUUGGUUUACUAUCCUCAAAAAGAAUGAGUAAGGUUGCCCUCUAUACAUUUAAAUGUGUAUAAAUCAAGAAUCACAUUAGAAUCCGAAAAGGAGAUUAAAAAGAACACAGUCACACCCAUGUUUCCAAGAACAAACACAAGCUGACAACAAGAUAACAUGCAUACCCUGUAAAGCUUUUCAGUCCAACCUAUCUUUCAGUCCAGUAUACUUCUCUUCGACAUAGAUCACAUUAUACAUAGAAGACAUACACUUUGAGCUUCCUGUUUACCUGAGAAUUUCAACCCUCUUAGUCAUGAAAUCAUGAAGUCACGAACACAGAAUGAGUUUAAUUUUAUCUCAAGGUUGGCCACCUAAAAUGCAUAGACUCAUCAAAUCUAAUUCACAAUAUGUCAAUGAAAGUCCUGUCAGAAAAAUGUAAAUCGAAGUCAUGAUCAGUAAGCCAAAGGGGAAAAUUUUAAGCAGAAGAAAUAUACAGAUGCAUAAAACAUCAUAAAAUCUAUCCCUCUCUAAAAGAAUUGUUGAUAUUUGGUCGCCAUCAUUUAUAAAUAUACCAGAAACUACAUGCAUGUAAUUUGCAACAUCCAACCUUCUCUGUAAGAAACUCAAGGCCAAUUUACUUAUGGAAUGAACGAUCCAAAUACACUCAUUCAAACAAAUAUCAAUCCACCUAAUGUUACUGGGCUUAUUAAGUACAGUUCCAAGAAGAAACAAAUUAGCAUGAACUAAAGAAUAAAGAGAAUAAGUCCUUCCCAGCAACAGAUAUAAAGCAAGACAGCACAAAAUAACACAUGCGAACUCCAAACCUUUUCAAUCCACGCUACUUUUCUCGACAUACAUCUCUUCAUUUACAGAUAUACACACAAGCCUUUCCAUAAAUCCAACUUCACAUAUACUUGUAGAGUCAGAUCUUAUAUGAUAUAUACUCAAGACAUUCUGAGUUAUAUUUAACAAUAUCUGACCACGAGCAUUCCAAUAAUCAUCAUGCAAAGACAGUCACUUUACUACCAACUUAGGCUGUAGAUGCUGGUUUGCCAUCCUGGAGGGAGAUCACAGUCUCGAAAGCGCCCACCAAAGCCUUCACCUUGCUCCUCCUGGUCUCUACCAGCUUACUUGCAGUUUCUUCAAUCACAUUAUUGAACAAACUCUGCGCCUCUUUCUUCCCCCUUGUAUCUUGAUGCCUCAGGACCACACCUUGAGCUUGUGGAUUUGGAUCAUUUGAGACAUCCAUCGCAUUCCUCCGCCUAAAACUUCUCCUCCCUACUAGACGAACAUUUGAGUUCUCACCCACCACUCCUCUUCUCCUGAAUUUGAGCCUUCUUGGACCAUUGCUCUCAGUCUGGGGUUCAAUUACUCUACCUCUCCUAAACUUCAAUCUGUAAGGCGCAGGAAUAUUAUCUUCUGGGUGAACGAUUGCAGUUCUUCGUGGUCUCCUUCUGUCUUCACCCUUUGAUAAUUCAUCACUGCUGUUGCUUUCUGUUUCCACAUCAUCAAAUAGUGAUUCACUUGAUUUACUAAAUCCAGACACAGAUUCAGGUUCCUCAACCUCCUCCUCAUCAGGUGAAAUUGAUUCUAGUGUCUGGUGGCCAUCAGAUAUUUGCUGCAUGAAAUCCAAAUCAACAUUCUCUGCUUUGGACUCAAUGACAUACAAUGUUUCCUCCUCAUUCCCAUCAAUGUCAUGUUCAGCCUUUUCAACCUUUUCUCCACUAUCACUUGCAGUAUUUUCAACAUUUUCUUGACCUUUUACAGGAGCAGCGAGCUUUGCAUUUCUAUGUUUCAUCAGUUGCAAGUCUGAGACCCCAUUACGAGCAGACUUGGCAGGCAAAGAAGCUGUUGUUGGUUUUGAUACUUUCCCUUGUCCACCUUUUGUCACUCCCUGAACCUUAUAUGUCUUGUCCUCCCGAUUCCUUCGACUAGCUAGACCUGCUGAAGGAGUUAAUGAGCAUGCAGACUUUACCACUGGAGUUUUCUUUGCCUUCAAGGAGAUUUCAGGUUUAGCAGAGAUACUAAUACUCUUGGGAGGCACCGAUGCCUUUUGCUUAAUAAUAACUGGUUUAGCAGCUGUUACAGGUUUCUUCACAGAUAUCUGCCUGAGCAAUUUGGGCUUAACUGAUGCUAUACCUUUCUUGGCAGACAACACAGACUUUUCCUUCAUGGUACCAGGCUUCCCACGCGCAUCAACUUCGUUGCCAUGGGACAGAUCUUUUUGCUUCAAAACUUUGGGCUUGUUGAGGAAUGUUUUUGACUGCAGUGGGGUCUUCUGUUUGAUUAUCUGCCUCUCCUUUCUGCCACCUGUAUUGAGGCUUUUUAACUUUAUCUGUUCAUUUUCUGGGGAUGCAGGAAGAAUUGCCUGCUUGCCAGGCACAAUGUCUUUAUGGCCAGGUGACAGAGUCUGCAACUCCUUGCUGACACGUCUCUCUGACAAUCCAGGUCCCUUGGUUGUUGACAAAGCCUUAUGCUUGAUGGCUUUAGGUUUAUCAGAAAAUUCAAUUCUCUGCGUAGGCGAGGACUUCAGUUUACUUACAGGUGUCUUGCCUCUUUCUCCAAGAUCCAAAGCUUUUGCCUCAUUUUGCUCUUCACCCGUGACAAUAUUAUUUCUUGAUCUGCGAAGAAAGGAAUGCCUUUCCUUUCCUUCGAAAUCAUGUUUCCUUCCAUACUUACAAAAAUCAUGGCAUGACUUUAUAGAAGUUUGGAGAUAUCGAGGCAGAGGCUUUUCAUCACUGUUUGAAAAAGAAGGUGAACCACUAGGAGAUGUUUUCCCUGUCCAAUUUAUCCUCUCCCCUCCUUUAGGCUUAACAACCUCCGGGGUUACUGAGAUAAUACCCCUAUCUAUUGCCUCGUCGUCCAUUGGGAGAAGGUCAGGAUCUCGAUUUGCCGCAGUUAAGAUUGCAUGCUACUGCAAAAUGUUCCAAAGUCCUGUUAGCAAAGAGGUGGGAGAAAAUGAAUGAAAGAAUAAUUUAAAGAGUAAAAGGCAUAAGUUUGGAUAAAUUAUGCAAUGUUUCUAGUGAUAAUUAUGAUUUAUAGGAUACAACAGAAAAAUGAAUCAAAAUCUACAAAACAGUGUUUUGUUUGCUAGGUUCAAAGAAUUAACAUCCAGCAAGGGACCGCCGCAACAGAUCAAUCAUACAAGGAUUUACGGGAUAUCGAGCAUAUUAAAUAUCAUUAGAGAUGGGCGGUUUCAUCCGAAAUAAGGUUCUUUCAUACUUCUUCCAAUUUUUCGAGAGAUUGAGGCUGAAACUACUGUCUGCAUUAAAUUCUUUCACUCAACAAGCUUUAGUUUUAUCUGCUGAACCAGCAAAGGAUGCCUUAGAACUGUUCCGACUGAUGAUCCUAUCAAACGUAACUUGCAAAGCUGGUUUACUAGAUAUAUAUAACACAGUUGAUUAUAUAAGAAUUCUAUUGAAAUUAGAGGUGCAAACUGGAUGAUAUCAAUUCAUUAAAGUAAGGCCAUUUUCAGAAAACACAUAGCAGAUUGUUUGUCUUGUAGUAACAUAGGCAUGCGUGUAUAUUUUAACCUGAUCUACCACAUAAAAAACAAGUUAAAAUAGCAAUGCCCCCCUCACCCCAAACCCCCAGCCCCCACCCCAAAAGAGAGGAGGAAGGAAAAAAUUAGAGGUGCAAACUGGAUGAUAUUAGUCACUGCAGUAAGCCAUUUUCAGCACAUAUGGCAGAUUGUUUGUUUGUAGUAAUGUAGGCAGAACAAGGUCAAUCCCAAAAGGGAGGGGAAAAAAGAUAUCUACCCACACACACACUCACACAAAUGAAGCCAGAAAAAUGAAAGGCUAAGAGAGUUUCUUAGUAGCACCUGGUAUGUUAUUCUGAAACUGAGACAAAGAUGACUACUGUGAAUCCUUUAAUUGCUUCUCAACCCGAAACACAAGCAACAAACAAAAACUUAUGCAUAAUCUGAUCAGAACUUCUUCAGAAGUCUAGUAAGACAUAAAAAUGCAGAUGUUCUUUCAAUCAAUCGGGUGUUAAUGCCAACACCAAGAUAACCUUCAUUUAUGAGUGAUGAUAGAAAGUAGAUUUUCCUUUUGCACUCUUACAAUUAAAGAAAGGAUAGCAUCCAACAGUUUAUUGAAAGAUAUAGAUAAUAUUUCGCAAGAUCAUAACAGUACAAACAAUAUUAUAGGAUAGCAUCCAACAAUUUAUUAAAAGAUAUAGAUAAUAUUUUGCAAGAUCAUAGCAGUACAAACAAUAUUAUAGGAUAGCAUCCAACAGUUUAUUGAAAGAUAUAGAUAAUAUUUCGCAAGAUCAUAGCAGUACAAACAAUAUUAUAGGAUAGCAUCCAACAGUUUGUUGAAAGAUAUAGAUAAUAUUUCGCAAGAUCAUAGCAGUACAAAGAAUAUUAUAACAGCCAUAGAAACUAUUGGUGUAAGAAGGGUUACUUCAAAACCUCUCAAUAUGACCAUGGAAACACAAGAAAUAAGCAAAGUUGAGCCAUUCAUAAUCUAAAGCAACGAACUUCCGCAAUCUUUCAUCAUCAAGUCGAGAAAAAACAACCCAGAAUCUUCAACUAGCAAUGGAAAAAAGGAAAAUCAAAGACCAACUUUUAUGCUAAGGCUCAUCAAUAACAUAGACCUAAUCUAUAUUAAGAAAGAGAAUUUAUGACACUAAAUACAGAAAGGAGAGGGGCCACCUCAUUUGAAUUAAAAAGCAAACAGCAGCAAUUUUCUCCUACCCAACAAAGUCAUACUAUGAUCCAACUGAAACAAAUGAGAGUAAUAAAACAAGGCAUCAGAAAUGAGAUAGUUCUGCAAUCCAUUUCAUUGAAAGAAUGAAAUAUGUUAAAUUUCAAUAAUCAAUUUCAAAAUGUUUAGAAUACUGAAUUUCCUCAAACCAAGAUUUUGUGUCAUUUACAUCAUUAAGAUCAUCACUCAGAAAAACUAAAAUAAAUGAACUGAGGUGAUAUUUAUCCAAUAUCCAGAUCAGGGAAGCAAAGAAAGAAAGAAAGAAAGAAAGAAAUAUAGAAGAAUCUUACUAUCCUUUCUAAAUCAGGAAGGCAAGAAAACUUGAAACAUAAGAAAGUAUCACCAUCUUUCUUAAAUACCUUCAGGAGAUAAUGCGAUCUACUAAAGUUCAUCAGUUCAAGAACAUAAGUUCAUUAAAUAAAUAAAUAAAGGGAACACAAAACUAAGGAAAUUUCACCAUCUUUAUAAAUAUAAAUACAUAUGAUAUAAAUACAUCAGUUUCAAGAUCAUGCGUUAUAAUAUUCACUCUUCCCGGCUAUUACAGAAAGAACAAAAUAUAUUUAAGAAGCCUUGAAAUCAAAAAUUCAAUCUCUUCAUCUAAAUGAACUAACAAGUUCCAGCAAGAAAACAGAACAUAAUAAAGUAGCGAUAGCUUUCUAUCCUACAAGAAUCAAACCAAUGACUUAAUUUAGAUCGAAAAGAAACCCAUCAAGAUCCAACCAUUUGUCAAUCAACUCUCUUCACCAUCACCAAGAAAUCCAAAACCCAUACGGACUAAAAACAGAUUUCAUCGAUCAAUCAAAAGAUUCAGUAAAGAUCAACAGAAACAAGCCAAGAACAGAGAAAACCCCAUCUUAAUUUUUACCAAAUCAGAAGGACAUGUUCCAAUAUUGUAUCAGCUCAAGUAAAGCAACAAAGCACAAGAAACACCAAUCAAGAUCGUAUCUUUGCAAAAUUUAAUUUACCAUCGCAGAGAAAAAAAAAUACAAGAAAGCAACCAACACCAAUAUCAAAAACAAAAAAAGAUCCAAUCUUUAAUCAAUCAAACCAAUAAAGACGUAAAAAAGGCGCCAUACCGAUCAUCACAAACGUCAAACAUAUCAAGAUCGCAUCUUGAGGCAAUUCCGAUCACUAGAAAUCCAAGAAAAGAGCGAAAAAGGGCCUUUCGAGCUCAGAAAAAAGCUGAAACCACGCAUCAAGAUCGUACCUUUCGGCGAUCCCCGUCACCAGAAAGCGAAGAGGGAGGAACCCAUUUGAGGACUCCCCCUCCUUCCCUCCUCGGCAAGAGCAAGGCCGGGGCCGGGCUCCUCCCCUUGGAGAUCGUGCAAGCAACGUCAGUGUUUUUUUUUUAAGAGUAAAGAAUGCGUGUUUGUUGGUGAGAAGGAUAACCGAAGCAAGCGGAAAGUAGCGGAGAGCGAGAGAGAAGAGAAGGCGUCGCCACCAGCCCAAUAUGAAACGGUCCGAAAUGCUCAACUCCUGAAGUCUCCCGUCUCUCUCUCUCUCCCAAGAGUCCAACUUCUCUCUUUCUCUCUCUAGAUCUGAUCUAAGGUACGCAAAUAAAAGAAAAAAAUCUAGGAAAGUUAGAUUUGGGGUAUUGUCAGUUGUGAAAGGACAAACGGAGAGGCGACCGCAAAAAGAGACCAUAGCUUGAAGGAACAACAUGGUGUGGGUCCCGCAAAGGGAUUGCGGGAAUGUGAGGCUGGUGUUUGUUUGGGAGAAUUUUGCUGUCUUGAUUAGGUGGGACGUGUUACUUAGUAAGGGGGGUUAAGAAGGGUUUGGGGUUUUUUUUAAUUGACUUAAAUAACUUUAAUUUAUUGAAAGCAUGUUAUGAAGGAUUGGGGUGUUAGUAGAUGCCUAACUUUUCCCACGCCAUCCCCUUUUAAUCAACAUAAAUGAUACCCAUGCCAUGGGCUGAGUGGUAGUAAAAAUAAAAAUAUAAUUUUAUAUAAAAAAAUAAUAAAAAUUUAAGAUAUAGCAAAAAAUAAAGAUGUGAUAUUAAUCUUUCUAAUUGGGAUGGUUGCUAUAGCAUGGAAACAUAUUUUUUUUUAUGAAUAUCCUUCUAAAUAUCGAAUUUUGCAUGAAUACCCUUUUAAAAUUAAUAUUUACAUGUAUACCCUCAUAACAAACUUAUUUUUGCUAUUCUCGUAAAUUAAUAUUUACAUAUUUUUGCAUAUGUACCUACGCUAUCUAACACCUUUAAAAAUUAAUGGUUUCAAAUUAGAAUAACUAAAAUAUCCUUAAUGGAUGGAUGUGCAAAAAAAAAUUUUAUGGCAAUCGAUCGCGAUGGAAAACAAAAAAAUAAUUUCAAGAUUUUAUUUUACUUUUAAUUAAAAUAAAUUUGGUUUUUAUUAACGGUAUUAGAAGAACCAUUAUAUUAGACGUAUUUAUGCAAAAAAAUAGUAUUUUAUGAGGGUACAGAAAUAAAUAUAAGAGGAUAUUCAUGCAAAUUUGAAUUUUUAGAAGAAUAUUCAUGCAAAAAAUUCUAUUUUUUUAUGUAUGUGAAUUUCUGAAAAAUAAGAAGUAAUUUUUUUAUUUUUUUUGAGGAGUCCCAUAAAAAUCUAAUUUAUUUUAAAAAUAUAUACAAUUUUUUCUUUAUCUUUAAAUUUUGGAGAGAGGUUGAGUUUUUUUCUUAUUUCUAUUCAAUAGAUAGGUAAGGAAUAUAGUAGAUAGGUGCUCAUCUGCUAUAAUUACACAUCCUUGUGUAUGCUUGGGUACUGAAGUGAAAGAAUACAACCUUGAGCACUCCUUCUCUGGGUUAGCCUUAAUUAAAAUAUAUACUUUAGGAAUUUAAAAUUAGUUCUUGGAUUUCUAUCAACUUUUUCGGUCUGCAUAGUUAAAAAAUAAAAAAUAAAAAAUAAAAAGGCUAUAAUGAGGCUUGAUGUGAUAAGGAAGAAGAUUAAAAGAUGUGGAAGAAUUAGAGGGUGAAGUGACUCCGAAAUCGCCAGGUGGCAAAUCCGAUGUGGACUUGUCCGGGCUUACGGGUCGUGCAUGCAUUUCAGGGACUUUGACUCUCUCCAUGUUGACCUCAACGUACCUUGCAUGAGCAUCAGAAGCCAAGCAGACUUGAAUGAAUUCGAUCCCAAGGAGACUUGACUAAUUGAAAUAGUCAAUAGAGGGCGAACCCAACUAAAUCCAAGUUGGAGAACAAAUAUAUUACAUCAAUUUACAGUAGAUUUUUAAAACUUUCUAAGAACACAGACAGCAACAGCGUAAAUUAUAAGAAUUUAAAGAUGGAUUCUUUCCUAAAUUUGUGAUUUAUGGGAUAAAAUUGCAGUAAUCUGUAAAAUAUCAAAAAAUUGCAGGUGGUUUCUAGAGGAUGAUGGCUAAUAAUUCAUGUAACCUUUUGUGGAGUGUAGCAAAAUUCAAGGACUCAUUAGGUCCACAACAAUCAACUCCAUUGUCAUAAUACAAACUCCCUACCUAGUCAACUGGCUUUCCACAUCUUCACCAUCUACACCUUACAAAUAUUCUUAUUUAUGGGUAAUAACUCAUGAUGCAACCUGCAGUCCAUCUAUUUUAAGCAAAUUUGGUUUUGGAAUAAACGGAUCCAAGUCAUAAACAAGUCAACUUAAUCUAAUCAGUUUAGUAAACAAAUCAAGUUCAGAUUUUAGAGUCUUGACUUGAUUAAGCCAUUUUGACCCUCGAGUCAUGACCGAACAUCUUUAGCCCGUUCAAAAUAUGCAUAAUCUAUUUAAAAUCCAUAAAUCCCAUUGAAAACCUACUUGACAUGUUUAACUCGUCUAACCUAAUUCAAACUACUACUGAAGAGAAACUUGAUGACCAGUUUCUAUGUGGAUCCAAAUCUAACUUCUUUUUUUCUUUCUAAAUUCCUAGUCCCCCUAAAAGUAUACAUGCCCAAUAUGGCAACUAGAAACUAAAAAACUGGCCCUGGCCCUUUGGUCUAUGGAGAAACUGUGUUAAAAAGAUCUUUAUUAAAUGGGUUAUACACGUCAGGUUGGAUAAUUUGAUUCAUUGAAAAAGAAAAAAAAAGAAGUUAGAUUUGGAUAGAUUUUUAAUCUAUUUAAUAAGUGGGGGAUCAGAUUAGUUUGACCAAUUUUUUCAUCUAACCUUCAUGGAACCCGACUUAUAUCUGACUCAACUCUCUCAGUUACCAUCCUUAGUCUUAUUUUCAAUGGUUCAAUAAGUACAUCUUGGUUAAUAUGCACAAUGAUACUAAGGCCAUGUUUGGAAUUGUUAUUAGCAGUUAGGGGUGCAAAUAGGUUGGGUCAGACACUCAAAUUGGGUUGACCCUUUGCACGCUUUUGUAGUCAAAGUUACGUUCACACUUUAGCACCUCCUUGGUAUGCCUUAUACACGUCUUUCCAAGAAACACACAGCAGAAAGAGAUAAGAGAAGGGGGAAAUUUCCCAAUCAUCUUUGUUUUCUUUCAUGCACAUUUGUGUAUCUUGACUCUAGGCUAUGCGACUUCCAUGUUUGAGCAACAUAUUUCUUGCUCUGGCCUUUUCUCUCCAAGACAAAAGACAAAAGAGAAGUAGAGCAUAGAGAUGAGAAUGCAUUUAUUAAGUAUAAAUUCUUUUUUAUUAUUUUUUAUAAAAAUUGAGAAACUAAAAAAAUGGAUCAAAAUAAAGGUAUGAAAAUACCAAACUUAGGUCAUGGCAUCCAAUGCCCGAUUACUUUCUAGACUUGGCACCCUUUUUAGUCAAAUAAGGUUUAUAACCAUCCAUGUUUUGUUUUAUUGCAUGCCACAUUUCCUUAACAUCAGUGUAACCCAUCGAUCUUAAGGUGGGGGAUCUUGACCGAUGGAAUGUAGUAGUUUUUUUUUCUUAAGAGGAAUGGAUAAUCAUCUAGGUUCAAAUUUUUCUCAAAUUUACCAUCCAAGAAUUAAAUCCCGAGUUGAAAUGGCCCAGGCAAAGGAGAGCAUAUGUUAGCUACAUCAAGCAAGAGAAAGAAAGUAAGGACAUAUCUAGUUAGGAGGAGAGAUGUAGAAUGGAAAUGAACAUAAACAACAUCCACUCCAGCUAUUUGAUUAGCGAGAGUUCUAUUCUCAUUCUCAUUUCCUCUGAAAUGAGAAUGCCCCAAUCUUCGAAAAAGCUAAUCCUGGCUCUCCCCACAAUAUUCAAAAUCCAUUCUACUAGCUUUACUUUAAGAAUUUUUUUUUUCAAAAAUACUAUUCUAUUUAAUUGGUUUUCUAAAAAUACUAUAAUUGGUCAUUCUUAUUUCAAUUUCAGUCACGGAUCAAAUAUGCCGAGAAAUAUAAUCAUUAUAAUUCUUAUUUUAAUCCAUUCCGGUUCCGAUUUAGAUCGCGAAUCAAAUGCACCCUAAAAAUCUACUAGAAGGAUGAUCAGAGUGCAGUUGGAUACAUUGCACAGCAUGAUAGAGCGCCCAAAACUCAACAGCAAGCAGUAAUAGAUUGUUUUUCCUACCAUUUGUUGACUAAAAACAUAAGCAUCAUAAUUUAAAAAUGUGACCACCAUCGCUUAGCAGAUCAUAGUGGAAGUGUCUAUAGUUUCAUGCUGAACUCAUCAUACCCAAGAAAUCCAAAAGGAGAGAUAAGAACCAUAUCAAGGAGAAAAAUUAAACCCAAACAAAAAUAGCCAUACAUAUACUCAAAAAGGAACUAGAUAUAUCAUACAUAGACCACCAGUACAAUCAACAAUCACAAGCCAUGAAUCAAGAAAGCACUGUCAUGCACAAUAGCCCAAUAACUGGAACAGACAAAUGAUUCAAGGGCUUUUCCCAUCAAGAUGACCACAUUUGAUUCCCAAAGGUGGAGGAAAGAAAAAAGUAACUGAUCCCUCAGUCAAACAUGAUGCCAAUACCUUGAAUGACAUGUAUUACUCACCAAGCUCCAACCGAUCUAUGGGCAACACAACAUGGAGUAACCAGUAACUAGCUGUCCAAAACAACAUACAUUGAGCACCUGACCAUGCACCAGAUGACUAUUUUGUACAUCAUUGCAGAGGAAACCUGCAUGACAAUGAAUAUAUUCCAUGCGCUUCACUGGCUAAUAACCCUGUCAACCUCUAGCUCUGGUUUGGAUGGAAGGAGAAACCACUAGGUAAAGAUCUCUUUGACAAGCCAAUCCAAGCUAGGAAAUGCAAAAUAUAGUAUGAAAAAGGAUGGUAAUGCAAACAGGACAGUGACAAGGAUGUACAGGGCUAAAAUGGCAGCACUAGCAGGGAUGGCAUACAGGACUAUGAGAAGAAAGAUGAUUAUGAGUGGGAACUUAGCAGUUACGCGAACAAAGAACGCAAGCGAUUUACGUAGGGAAGCAUGGAUCCUCUCUGAACUGAAGUAGUUACUGACUAGGCCAGCAUGAUUCUGAUCGGCACGGGAGUGUUCUGCAUGCAUAUUUGGAGCUCUUUGUGCGCUGUGAUGGCGGUAAGCAUUACUUGAAGGGCAGACAAGAUGGUGCUCCCCACAGACUGAGGACUGAGACUUCACUCUAUUGCCAUUCAUGCUCUCUAACAUCCAGAGUAGGAAGUAGUUUUUGCGGGGAAAUGUGAGAUUACCCUUGUAAACCAGCCGAAAUGACAGAAGAUUGCACCAUGGGCAGGAGAUGAAGAAAGGUAGCUGGAUUGGUACAGUUGGAAAUUUAACAACAGCCCACUGAAGUCCGAAGACGCAAUUCUUGCAUAAGGUAUGGCCACACCACAAAACGUAAGGCACAUUCUCGACAAUAUUAAAUGAUUCGCAGCAUAUUGGACAAUCCAGACCUUCUUCUCUGCUGGUGCAUGAAGAAACCUCAUCAUCUGAGCAAUCAAGAUUGGAUGCACUUGAUUUUUGGUAGGUCUUCUUUGGGCUUAAACUUCCGGCGAUGGCAUUUGAUGCAAAACUCCACAUUGCAAUUGGUUGAUGGAAUGUCAAACUUAGGGAACUAUGUCAAUGUGUAGUAUAAACAAAAAACCAACAGAUGGAUACGAUCUCUAGAUCCAAUCUCAAAUCUGAUAUAAAUUCUCAAAAUCCCCUACAACAAAACCUGGAAUACAAAGGCAGGUAAAGGGAUGUAAGUGAUGGUACCAUAGUGAGAUUUCACAGAGGAAUCCGCCACCAAACAAGCUUAAGAUGGGUAUCACAUACAAAAGAAUUGUUAUUUGCACAAGCCAAAGAAGGUGAUUAACAGGGAUAUAUAUAGACACCAUACAUAGCAUAUAAGCAAGAAUACAUUUGUUUGAUCUUAUUGUUUUCAUUCUAUAGCAAAACAAAAAUAUAUAGCAAGAGCCAUAAUGUAUUGUGGACAAUCUAUCCAAUGCAAUACAGCAUAUGAAACCAGCUUCAUGCCAAAUGAACUGAGAAAAAUAAGAAAAUGAAGUUGAAGAUGAUUGCAUGGAGAUCAGCACAAAAGGAACAAAAAUGUGCCGCAAGGUGUAUCAUUUAAAGCAAUGUAUCCAAAAAAAACGCUAGAUAGCAGUCACCAGCAAAACAUCAGAUGGAAGGUCACAAGUCUAAAUAAGAUUUAACCCACUAUUGCUUAUUACCAUCAACCAAUCUAUUGCUUAUUACCAUAAUACACCAUUGGCUAUAUCCCAUGAUUCACAGAUUUCUACGGAUUACAACUUAAGUUUUUAGGCAAUAUAUCAUCUUCAAGUGAAAGAUCAGAUAAUAUUCACUAAUUACAACUUAAUUUGUCAAGCAAUACAGACUUUUUAAAUUCACAUUAUAUACCAUACAAGAUUAAUUAAAAAUCCCAACAGUUCAGAAACAAUAAACGAAAAACAAAAAAGAAAGGAAAAACAUUUAAAAAUCAGAAUCCAAUUAAGCUCGUGCAGAUCAUCAUACAUCCGAAAAAAUAGGAUAAAUCCAUAGAAAAACACCAAAAGGAUCCAGAGAAACACAUUCAGGAAAUGGUAAAAAAAACCCCAAGAGAUCCAGACUCCAUGUCAAAUCCAUCAACGAAGAGCACUAAAUUCAGGGAGAGCAAAGGAGGUAUCCGCCAGAAACGCCGCCAGAAACAAUAAAUCGGGGCGUUAACCUCUAAAUCAACAGUAAAAGAGUCUCCUUUCGUGCAGAAUUGAUCUCACUCUCUAAAUAAACCCCUAAAAAAACCAAGAUUUUACCCAAAAAAAUAGCCUUUUUUUCACACCAAUCAAGUCUAUAUCAAAAGGAUUCAAAUUAGAUAGUGAUAUUACCAAUUAGCGGUCGCGAGCAAAGGGAUCGUGGGAUCCAGAGGAGUGGAAGAAGGACGAAAGAGAGAGGAAGCGACCGGCACCCCUCCAUAUCUCUCUCCUCCCCCCUCCCUCUCUCUCUCACGGCUCGGACGAGGCGAGAUUCUUCGCUCCUAUAGAAUCCAAGUUACUUGAAAUUACUGGAUUAGACCAAUCCUUUCGUUCAAUGACGGAUACAUCCUACACGUGGUCCGGACCGUCCGUUUUAUAUCUAACGGUGAGAUAAGGGUGCCGACUGAGAUAAGCACAGUGGCGUCAUUUGUCCUGGACCGUCCGUUUUAUAUCUAACGGUGAGAUAAGGCACGCCGACUGAGAUAAGUCCAGUGUCGUCGUUUGUCCUGGACCGUCCGUUUUAUAUCUAACGGUGAGAGAAGGGUGCCGACUGAGAUAAGUACGGUGCCGUCGUUUGUCCUGUUCCGUCCCGUUGCCACGUAGAUGUGUUGUGCCUUCCGCUCACCGCCGGUGAGCGUAUAUUUAUAAUUCUCUGUGCUUCCUUUCAAACUGGCAACCGCUUCUUAGAGUUGAUGUGGCAAGGACAGGUGGCAGAUGAUCUGGGAUUUCAUGCCACGUCAAUCUCGAAUAUAUGGAUAAAAAAAUAAUGCCAGAGUAAAAUAAUCAGCCCUCACAACAAACGUGACUAUUAUCUUUUAUAAUAUUAUAAUUUAUUUAACAUAUUAUAAUUACUAUAUAUUUUUUGGAGAGCAGUUUACUCUAUUUUAUUUUAGUUAGAUGAAUAAGAUGAAGAAUUUCAAUUUUUUACAUAUAUGUUGUUCACUUGGCUACACUCCAAUGAAUCUUUAUUUAAAUUUGAUCAAAUUUAAAUCAGACAAUAAGGAUUUCAUAUCGACAGUUUGAGCUGUUGGAUGUCGACUGCUAUAUCUAAACCACUUACAUAUUAAAUUAUAUAUUUUGGAGGCUCUUAGCUUAUGCAUCAAAUGAUUAAAAAAUUGAACUAUUUAAAUAACACAAAAUAAUGUAUUUUUCUGUCUAGUAGGCUACUAGUUACCAAAUCAUUUGAUUAUUAAUGUAUAAUCAAUUUAGAGAUAAUAGAUCAUAUCAAAUGGUUUAGAUUAUUGAUGUGGGAUCUUUUUUAUCUAAUUUUGACCAGAUCAGAUAUCUCUUUAUAUAGAUAGAUAGAUGGAUAGAUAUUUGUAGUCGCUACUUGUUGAUAUGUUCCGAAAGAUACAAGAGUGGUUUAUUGCUGCCUCUUUUUGGACCAUGUCAUUUUCCCAGUGUUUGAACUCCUUCAACAACCUUGUUUCUCUAUUAUCUUCUACCUCUUCUUUCCCUUGUCUUCACUCCUUCCUUUACCAUUCUUGGUCGAUGUUUUGAAUAUGGGUUGUUACUUCCUUCUCUGAUGAAGUGGGUGGAAUUUUGUCCUGCCUUCAAGGAGUGGGGAAAAAGAAAACACCAACCCAACAAGUGGCUACAAAUCAACAUAUAGGUCAGUUUGAGAGGCAUCUUAUGCAGCCAUCAAAUGUGAUAGGUCAAAUAUUCUUGCACAUGAAUGAGUUUGUGAUAGGUUAAAUAUUUUUUGCAGCACAAAAAAUAGGAACAAAACCAAAUAGUAAACAUAGCCAUGCCCAACUAAAAUGGGAGGAGGGCUCCACCACAUUUGACUAUUGGAAUAAAUGGAUGCCAAUGUAGCUAUGUAGGAUGUUUUGCCAUGCAAGACAAGAUAACAAGGCCAAGCCGUUUGCUGCUAACUGCAGAGAUCCAUAUUAGAAGUAAGCAUGGUCUAAAUAAAAGCUUUGCUACCAAGCAGCUUUUCUGCAAGUAUAGAAGCUUUUUUUUUCUUGAGAUUAAGUGUGAAGACCCAUGUGCGCAUGUGUUUAGUCCUAUAUCGGCUAUUCGCUUGGUAGAUCUUGAAUACUUAUGCAGAAUUAAAGAACCCAAAUAAUACCUUCCAGCUAGUCAUUUUGGACGAAGUCCUAGGUUGUUACAAAUAGUAUAAAGCGAUCUGACCCAUAACCUAUGUGGACUAGGAGAUACUGCAGCACGGAUUCAUUGAGGCUAACCACGGGUCGAUCAUAGUGUUUGUAAUUAGAUUUGAAUAGAUUUGCACUCUUAGCCUGAUAAGAACGUCAGGGCUUAAAUGAGGGGAGUAUGUAAAGACCUGUGCAGAAUCAAGAAAUCCAAAUAAUACCAAUCGGCUAGCCAUUUUGGGCGAGGUUCUGGAUUGUUAUAUUAAGGUGAUUGCAAUAGAAAGUUUUACCUUGAAUCGAGGGGCAUAACUUAAGGUCUCCAUGCCACUGUGUAUUGGAAUCUUCUCAAAAUGAACUCGAGGAAGAGGUGUAAUUUAUGAUGGCGAAAGCUAGUUAUUGCGACCGCAAUAGAUAGCGAUAUAAAUCUGUCUAUGGGGGCAGAGGGAGCUACAGCCUGGAGCCACUCCAAUGCUCCAAGACCUUUAUGCAACAGUCCCAUCUGUACCACUUCCUUAUCUAUCUCCCUUAGUAUGUGGAAAUCAAAGAAUUUCUUUGGCUAGUAGGCAACUACUUCACUUAAGUAGUGCCCCAGCUUCAUAAAUUUAUCAAUGAAAAUCCUGUCUCCUUAAAACUAAUCUUGCUAAGAUGUAGAUGGAUACUUUAUUUAUUUAUUUAUUUAUUUAUGUUCACUUAUAGUGCAUCCCUCGGUGCUGGAACAUGGCUAAUUAUAAUACAGAUGGUUUCCUCUCUUUUCUCAAAAAUGUGAGUCAAUAGGAGAAAUGAAUAUAGCUAACAAAAAAAAAAUUGCUAGCUCCAAUGUAUCUAUUGCCGCCGAUCUUGGGACAUCAAGGUGGACCGCCUCCUUAGACCUACGAGAUAAUAAACAAGGGUGAGAGCUCAUCAGAUUAGCUCCGAAUGAACCCUCAGGUGCAUAAGCUAGAGAGGAUUUUAUGUAGAAACAGAGAAGGCAGAAAAGAGAACGGAGAGAUAGAGUCUCCCUUGGUUAAGAUAAUUUUUCGUCACUUUUUCUAGAGGGCUUUUGAACAUGUUUAUAGCUAGGGUCUUGAAUCUUCUAGGAUCGUGUCCCAACAAACUUAAAGUGGUGCCACUGCCUUAUGUGACAUAACAUCUUUGGAGAUAUGCUAUAACAACCUAGCAUGUGGUGGAAUUGCACGUGCCUUUGAAGCUGAAAGACUAAGUUGUUUCUUUUGUGGGGAGGAUUAUGCUCGGUUCGGAUUAGUAUUUGAGGUCGCUAAGCUAAGUUGAGAGGUGCCGACCUCAGAGGUCGGACACCUCUAGUCUCCUCGGCUUGAACUUUAAGUUAGUCCAAGCAGGGCCACACUAGAACGUCAUGAAAAUUUUUUGUAUAUGUCUAGACUAUCAUAUGAGUCAUGAGCUGUAACAACUGAGGACCUUACCCAAAAAGCUAGCUAGAAGGUAUUAUUUGGAUUUCUUGAUCUUAUAUAAGUAUACAAGAUUUACUUAGCGAAUAACCGAUAUAGAACUAAAUAUACGUUCGCACGGGUCCUCACAUACUUUUCCCGUUUAAGCCCUGACGUCCUCGUCAGACUAAGGGUUCAAAUCCAUUCAAAUCUAAUCAUAAACACCACGAUUGACCCGUGGUCAGCCCUAAUAGACCCAUACUACAGUUUCUCCUAGUCCACAUAGGCUAUGAGCUGGGUCACUCUGAUACCAUUUGUCACAAUCUAGGAUUUCACCCAAAAAGACUAGCCGGAAGGUAUUAUUUGGGUUUCUUGAUUUUGUAUAAGUAUCCAAGAUCUACCUAACGAAUAACCGAUGUAGAACUAAAUACAUGCCUACACGGGUCCUCAUAUGAGCAAUCACUUAUACCAUAAUCAUCAGAUAUUCGUAGCAAUAUACAGCUACGAUGAAGUUCAUAAAACUGCAUCAAAUUAAGAGAGGAUCUUUACUGUUUCCAAAUUUAUAUGAUAUAGUUGCUGUCUCUCCCUCCUCCCUCCUCCCUCCCUAGGUAUGCUGCCCGUGGUAUGCCUCAGCACCCCAAGCUCCACCUUUCUUUGUCUCAAAGGAAUACACAUCUCACCUUUGCACCCCAAGCUCCACCUUUCUUUAAUUAUAUAUUUUAUAAACAUAAAAGAUGAAACUAUUUGGAGUCACCACAACUUUUUAUUAAGUUGGAACAUUGAGUUAGAUGUUAGUAAUCAAUAAUCCAUCUAAUUAAGAAGUCAGCUGAUUCUAAUCACAUCAAGCAGUUCAGGGAAAUUUUGGUUUAUAUAAUAAUAGCCAAGGUAAAGAGCAAGUCUUGACACAAUAAUUAGGUUGCUCUAUUAUGAUCCGAGUAUCAUGCGUUUGAAAUACAAAAACAGCCACUCCGUAUGUGGGGAUAAGGCAAUGCAUAUUGGACCCCAUAAAGACUCAGUAAUAGCAGGAAUCUCAGUGGAUAAGGCCAUUUUUUUCUUUUUAUGAUGUUGUUUUGAUCAUGUGGAGAAAUUAAGUUUCCAUCUUUUUGUUAUUCCAGAUUCCUUCUUUGUUGCUUCAAUAUAUAUACUUUAUUCUAUACCUUUAUUUGUGACAUUGUUAUUUUUAAGAACUGUAAUUUUUGUAUUCGAAUGCUUUAGAUGGUCCUUUUGUGAUAAGUGGCAUUCUUCAGCUAUGGCAGAUGCAUUAAACCCAAACUUAAAGUAUGAACUCUAUGAAAUGGCUUCUCUUGAUGGGCGUAUUUUCAAAUAUGAAGUUGAAAAAUAAAAAGGAGGCAUGAAGCUCAGAGAAUGCUACAAGUUCUAAUAGCUUCUGGUUUUCUGUUAUCCAUGAGAAAAAUGUUUGAUAAAACAAAUUUCAUGGAAAACUUAGGUGUUCAACUUAGUUGGGUAAGUAGACAAAUGCUCUCUAAUGCUUCGAAUUUGUUGGCAUUCAUCAUAUAGGCAUCAAAACAGAAAGAGGAUAACUAAGGAAACAGCGAAGAGAAGCCAUUCAUCUUUCUUUUGACCACAUGCUGGUUCUCAGGACUUAUUCUAAACCUGUGAACCGUGGCACAUUGAAAUGAGCUUGUAAAGAACCUGAAUAAGGGUUCAUGACAACUAUAUUGAGAAAAGUUCAAUGUUCAAUGUUCAAUGGACUCAGAAGUUAGUGGAAGAUGUUUUGCUAGACAGCUUCUGCAAAAUUUAUUUGGAAGAAGAAUUUCUAUUCAACAGCGAGAUUUUUUUUGGACUGAAGUGAAUGUAUUUUAAAAGAAUGCAACAUGGGCCAAAGUGUCAUGAUUCUGAAUUUUUACCCUGCAGUAGGACAUCAUGUCUCCACAUCCCUUCUCUGUUUUGAAAACACCCCCUUCGACUCUGAAGAUUAUUAUUAGAAUACAAGCACUUCAGAGGAUGGGCCAUGCAAACAAUCUCUCUGAUGCCUCCCUCACAAGCAUAUUGAAUUGUCCAUAGAAUGGAAACACAUAAUGCUGAGUUCUAUAGAACAAAGAUCUUUAUUAAUUCUAUUCCUUCAGAAAACUACAAAAAAAAUCCAUUCUUCUCAUCUUAAAAGAAGUAAUCUGUUCAUUAAAGUUUUCCUGGUAGAACUGUUCUCUCUCUCUCUCUCUCUCUCUCUCAUGCUUCUAGAUGAAAUCCAUCUUCUUGAAAUUAUUUUGCUCGGCAGCAAAAUGAAUCCUUCCCACAGAAAUGUGUCAGCUCAAAACUGAGACCUUAUCCACACAACUCAAGGUGAUCAUGAGGUCGGAUUGACAUGAACAUUGCUGCAAAAAGCCGAAGACGGCGUUCGCUGUCACCAAGUUCUGAUGGCUGAAUCGUCACACCUCUAGUUUUGGCCUUGUAACGGCGCCAUGCAAGUUGAAUGUUAACUGCUGCCCAUGUUCUCCAAUUCGACGAGUAAUACCUUGCUGUUCUCUUGAGUCUAUCAUUUGCAAAUUUGUACCUGAAGUGCUCAGUGAUGUAGAGUAGGUGGUGUGCAUCUAAUCCAAAGGCCUCUGUUGGCUCAACACAAACAAAUGUAGCUGAAGAAGCUGGUAACCGAUUCAUAAAUGGGCGACGGAGGCACCAUGAAAGGAGCUCAUCUCCCAGAAAGUUUCCAGGGCCUAGCAUGCAUUUUGCCACCAUUCCUUUGCUGAGUUUUUGACUGCUUUGCAAGUGCCCCUGUACGAUAAAAACCAUUCGCUGCACUGGAUCUCCUUCUCUAAUGAUCUGGACGAAUACUGAUGGAUUGAGAUAUGCUAGAAUGCAGUCACUAUUAAGAAUAUUAACAGCUAAAACUGUACAUCAACUUCUUCUAAAUGAUGACAUAAUUAUUUUGUAUUUGUCUUACAUACCUUUUCAUCCUUGGAGAAGACAAGGUGCUUAACUCUGUCGCAUAUGUUAUCGAGGAUAAGAUCAUCCAGGCUAUGGAACAAAGGCACCUGAAGAACAAAUAUUUCUGAGCUAAUCAGGCUACUAUCAUAUAAUGUAACCGUCAAGUGCUAUCUGAAUCCUAGUGACAUAAGCAAAUGCAGUAUACUCCUUUUGAUUAGUGCUUGGAUUGCUCUUCCUUUGUUAGGAUUUUCGAUCUUCUAAUGCUCGGGCCACCCAUUCUUGUUUAGUUUAGAAUUUUUGUUCGAGCUUUGAACUUAGCUGAUUAAAGAAGAGGAGAACAGUGUUACAUUUGAUUAUUUAUCUGCCUACUAAGGCUUUUGCUAUAGGCUAUCCUAAUUGAUCUCGAUAUGUUAUAUUUUAUCUGUUUACCUUACAAAGGUUUUGGUCAGGGCUACCCAAUGUCAAACUCAUUAUUCUAAAAUAGAUAGAUAAUAAGAAAUAUACGAAACCAGAUAAAGGUUCGUUCAGAAUAUGCAGUCCACAUACCAGAUUCACUUGGUACAUUGCCACCUUUGAUCUCAGAUUGUUGACACUAAUCUUUCUGUAGUGUGCUCACCUUUAAUUCACACAGUUUUACCGAACUUGGCCACUACAAUUGAGCCUAUCUUUCAUUCUGCUUUGCUGAUUUUCUCCUCUAUCCUGAUUCAUUCAUGUUGAUUUAUUCUAACAGCCUUUAUUCUUCUUUAGAUUUUUCAAGUGAUCACCAGAAAUAUGGUUUGAGAGUUUUUGGAAUCAAACCAUGCGACAUCCCUGUGAACAUACUUAAUAUAUAAGAAGUGUCAUCCUUUACCUCACAAGUGUAUAUACAAGAUCUGCAGUCUAGUCCUAAAGAGCACCUGCUUAAUGAGAUCGAGGCAGAGAUAGCGCCUGAUGUCUCGUCUUAGCCCAUCUGGCAAGUCCUUGAUGAUUUCCAUUUCAUCCUCCCCUCUCAUCGUGGCCCAUCUCUGGCAUUCAUACUGCCGUACUCUCUGCCUCAAGCGUGAGGGCAGUUGUCUUCGCUUCAUCCACCAUUCCAUGUCUCGAAACCUUAGCUGCAUCUUUCUUCUCCUUGCCAUGACUGCAUGCAGAAAGAUCUAUGCAUGAACAAUAGCUGUUAGGACUUGAGGGUCUCAUAUAUAAGUCACUGUCCAAACUCAUGGAUAAACAAGUAAAUAGAAAUUAUUUAUGAGUACCUGAAUGUUCCCAAUCAAGAGAGUAAAGAGCAUGAGGCCACUUAGUACUAUUGCUAUACUGAAUAUCACUUCCAGCCAUUGACUAGUUGGAACAAGAUUAUUGCCAAAAGUGCUGCAGCAAAACAAAGAUUGUAGCAGUAAUUAAACACAACAUCUCUACUUUCUUCUUCAUUUUGCUUUAAGUAUGAGGAGAGAUUUACAAUCCACAGAUUUCUGUUAGCAGUAGCAUAAACCUAGUAUGCGAAAUGUUUUGUGAGGUAUGAAUUCCAUAUGCCAUACCAGGGAGAAAUGCAACUGUAAAUAGCAAUUGCUUUGCCCUUUUGACACAAUUCUUCUGGAAAAAAAGGUGGAAAAGAAAAGUACCUGAGAGUCAUAAGGCCCCAAAAUAUAGGGUAAAGAAUCUUAACAGCAAGUGAGUUGCUGGAUAUGACAGGAAGAGCUGCAUCAUAUAUACCAUACUGAAAUGGUCCAUCAACAUUUAAGCAUGCAUGGAGAUUUUGAUUUCCCACAAAUGUCAGGUUAUUGAUGCAAGAUAAUUCAUCGAUGCCAGCUGGUAAUGAAAGGAGUUUACAGGCUUCUUUGGAACAGGCCAUUGACAUGAGAUCACAAUUAUUAUUCUUCUGGCAUUGCUGUUGAAGGCACGAGGCAACACGUUGGAUCGCAAGGACAUACCAGCAGCCCCCAGCAACCUGAAAAUAGCACCAAAGCACAUUACACUAACUUUUUUCUAGCUCAUUUAGAAUGAAAGAAAAAUGAAAUUUUCAGCAUAUCUUUGUUGUUAUACAGCAUUUAGCUGAUGGAGAUGUGCUUGUAUCUAGUGAUUAAGAUUGAUGUGGAAUUUUAGCUGUAUCAUGAUUAUCAAUUGCAUUAGUAAAACAACUGCCUGGACUUCAUUGCUUUUAAUCAUUUCAGUACAUUCAUCUACACAUGCUAUGCUCAUGCAUGUGUACGAAGGUAUAAAGCUUAUGCACUUAAGCAAGAUGAGAACAAGUCCAAGUGCCAGUAAAACAUAUGCUGUAAAACAGAAUGAAUUUUUCUUUCUUGUUUUCUUUUUCAUUUUUUCUUUGGUGGGGAUGCUAGGAGCCACAUUUGAACUCAGGACCUUUCCCAUAUGGAGAUAGGAGUUAUGCACAUGGACUUUUCAUGUCCUUUCCUUGGAAAGGCUAGAAGAUGCAGUCCUUGGAUAAUUAACUUUAUGAUUAAAUUUCAAUGGAUUUUCAGUUUCUUCAGAAUUUCCUUGUCAAUUGAGCACUACUGAAAAACAUUUGUAUCUGACAACUGAUGACAAAAACAUUAGUUUCAUUUUGUAACAUGUCCAACUAGAUGAUGGUUAUCAGGGAUGACCAACAUCUUGACAAUCCAAUGCAUAUAAAUGUUGUAUGAGGAAAACUAAUGUUCAUUACACGACUUUUUAUUAGCAGCUGAUUUGUUGAAUGCUUUUUGUCUUUCAGGUCUAGGUUGGAGAACACAAUCCAUAUCUUGAUGGAAGGCUCCUGGUNNNNNNNNNNNNNNNNNNNNCUAAAUUGAGGGGUAUUUUUGUUUUUAACUUUCAGCCCAGGAUCAUUGCCCUGGGGUGAUCUUGGAUUUCCGACCUCAACGAUGGGCAUCCCAUCACCGAGUUGGAGGAUGAUUUGAAGAGUGGAGGUGAUUUAAGAUCACCGCUACGUAGGAUCAACGUGGUGCAACCAAACGCAGUGAUCUUAUCACUUCCACCCACAUCAUCCUUGAUCCUGGAACAAUCACCCCAUACCAAACGCCCCCUAUGUUCUUUUAUGGACUUCUGUACCUUUUGAAGUCCCAGCAUCAUUGACUCGAAAAUGAAGGAUAAAAAAAAGACAAAAAAAAACAAUUGUUGUCAGCCUUGGCUAGAAUUAGGUUUAAUAUCUUUAGCGAUGAUCCAAGAUCUAAUCCAAAAAAAACUAGCCAAUAAUUAUAGUUUAAGGUCUUUAGCAUUGUUUAAGUAUCUGGACUAAAGCAAUCCAAAUCAUGCUUAUUCUUUUACUCAAAAAAUAAUUAAAAACGAAGUCCAAAGGACACUUUCUCAAGUCUAAAUUAAGGUGGCGAAUUGCACAUACUUACAUGAGAUGCGAUGAAAUAAGCAAUAAGGUUGAGCCCAAAUCCCCACCAAAUGGUUCCAAAUAUGUAGCCGGUGACCUUCUGCAUACUCCUCAUCAUACAUAUGCUGUGAUAAACCUUGGGGAAGAACUGGAACAAGAAAAUUAAUAGCAGGACGGUUGUUAUAAGCUUGAGCUCUUCCUCUCUAAUCAAUUUUGGCAGCACCAACCACAAGAUUAUCUGCAUAAAUUUACCCAAAAAAAAUAAAAAGUCAAUUUUUACGUGUGAAAUGCUGGAGAUAGCAUCAAUGGAGGCCAACAAGCUACAAACCCGACCAACUCACUUCCUUGGUCAAGCUUAGCAAAUCUAUAAUAGAUUACAUGAAUUGGUUCAUAAUCUAAUAAUAGGCGACAUGCAGAGAUUGCGUGUACAUAAAGAUAACUUUAUGUAAGCAUAGUUAGUUGAUAAUUACAUAAAUGCCAUGGUUAUCAGAAAGCUCUAGAAUCACCCCCUCCUUGUAACUUGAAAGGUUAUUUUGUUAUAAAAGCAAAGAUAUUCAGAGGAAAAAAACAAUUAAUUUAUUGUGAUGUAUAUUAAUUACUGCGACGUAGCUUUGUAAGCCUGAUGGACGUAUGAGAAUCCCACAGGACGCUGUGGUUUAUGGGAUCAGAAACUUGGGCCCUUGGUAGCAACUCAUCAAUAUUAAAAUUUUUAGUUGGACGAGAUCCACUGCUGAGCUGAUGGAUUAAUCCACCACAGAGUUGAUGUACCAAUCCAACCACGAACAAAUACGAAUAAAUGCUCGUAUAGUGUCUGCUUCUUUCUAUUUCUUUUUUGUCUGUCUUUGCUCGUAUUAGUUCAUAGUUUAAUUUAUCCACAGAGUUGUAGGAUUUAAUCGAAUUAAUAAUUUCUAAUUGACAAAUAUGGUUAAGAAGUGAACUACGACUCUGUGGCUCAGCUGGUGACAGCAGAUUAACAAUAUUGCUUAUACUGCAUGCAUCAACAUGGUCGUGUAUUCAGUUAAUAAUAGUUGCUAAUUUUUAUAAUAAUAUAUCAAGAUGUAUGCUUGAUGUUGUUGUACGGAUGGUUACAUAGUGUAUGCAGUGUAGGUAGUAAUUUUCCAUUCCCGGCGGCAUCGCACGUGACUCCUCUUACGUCCCGCCGUCCUGAUUCUCCCGGACCCAUCAACGGAUCCGCUGUCGGGGAUGAACAGCUAACUAGCAGCACUUUUAUGGUGAUGUGUCGAGUGUGAAGCGAGUGCGGACGCGGAAGAAAGGCUGUUUGUUGUUCUGACAGGAACAGCUGAGCCGCCCCCACACACACCGUAGGCAUGUUUUCCUCGAGGGGCCCAAAGAACACGUGCGAGGUGUGCAACAGGUGGCUGUCAUCUUGAAUCAGGCAAAAUUUUGCACCUGACCCGUUACCAAAAUUGAAACUAUAUUUAUUCUAUUUUGUAGCCUUCCGAAUCCAAUUAUUUGUGGAAGUACAUGACAAUAUAGAUUUUUCCUCCUUUUUUUAUGUUUCAUGGAGAUAUAAUUUAGUUUACUGAAAAUGUGAAAUAUUAGGGUGAGCAAGAUUUACUUGCAGUUAAAUUUAUACACCAAUAAUUUGAACAUUGUAGACUGAGCUAGCAGCAUCUUUGUUGUCUCCUUUACAUCAAUGAUUGCUUGGUUGUAUAAUUUGUAUGAAUUUAUAUGAGACAAGGGCUCCCAAUGGAUAUUAUUUGAUUUAAAGUUGUCGCGAAGUAUAUACCGUGAAUGCAAUCCAAAUCCAAUGAUUAACUAAACUUGCGUGGUAAAAUAAAGAGAGAACAUAUGUAUCAAAAAAAAAACUCCCAAAAUGCAAUUAUGAUGCAUGCCUUCUUAAGUUUUGUCUAGAUGAUUGAUGAUUAUCAAAUUUGGAUUAGAUAUCAAAGAAUUAUAUUUGACAACUACUUUUAUCUAAUAAAUCUUCAUUGCGAAUGAGAGAUGUAAUCUUUGAGCAUAACUCAAAUGUAUCACACCUGAAAAAUACUUACUUUAAAAGAGUAAUGCCAGGGGUCUCAUCUAAUUAUACAAAAUUUUCAUUCUAUCACCAGGCAUAAGGAGACUACCACCAACCAUGAGUAGUGUUGAAUCAUGACUUGCCACACCAAACAUCACACGAGCCCAAUGUUUUGCAUGACCAACCAUCAGGACCACCAAAGAUAUUUCAUCAAUAAAAACUACAUAUUUAAAUUUAUUAUUAAAAAAAAAUCAAAGAGGAUUGUUUUGACAUGCAAGAUAUAUAUUUUGGCCGUAAACCUAUCUAACACAAACACAACCAACCAACAUCACCACAUCCCUUGCCAUGUUUAACCAUUAAUCCAAUGUUAACUUCGAGAUCCAACUACCAAAUAGCAUUUAACAGUAAUGCAUUGGGAAACUUAAGUAUAGCCACCAAUCAUAUACUCCUUAAUUACCUCCUUAACAUUGGUGUAACCAUGCAACAAUCCCACUAAAACCCCCAUUACUUAUAUCUUAAGACUCUUAGUUUCUAAAUUUAACAUUUAUCAUUACCUCAGUUAAUCUCAAUCUCAGAUAAUGAUCAAUCGUAAUUUUUUUUUUGUUAAGAAGAAGAAGAAGAUUAGUCCUAAAUAUAGUAAUAAUAAUCUAGAGAGAGAGAGAGGGAGAG